UAGUCCACGCCGUAAACGAUGGAUACUAGCUGUUCGACUUCGGUUGAGUGGCUAAGCGAAAGUGAUAAGUAUCCCACCUGGGGAGUACGUUCGCAAGAAUGAAACUCAAAGGAAUUGACGGGGGCCCGCACAAGCGGUGGAGCAUGUGGUUUAAUUCGAUGAUACGCGAGGAACCUUACCAGGGCUUAAAUGUAAGUUGCAUGAUUUAGAGAUAGAUCUUUCUUCGGACUACUUACAAGGUGCUGCAUGGUUGUCGUCAGCUCGUGCCGUGAGGUGUCAGGUUAAGUCCUAUAACGAGCGCAACCCCUGUUGUUAGUUGCCAGCGAGUCAAGUCGGGAACUCUAGCAAGACUGCCAGUGCAAACUGUGAGGAAGGUGGGGAUGACGUCAAAUCAUCACGGCCCUUACGUCCUAGGCGUACACACGUGCGUACAACUAGUAGGGGACGACGAGAGCGAGCGACCUAGGGUGGUACCACGGAGGCGGAAUACUAUAAACCCUAACUACUCACGUUCGGUACGUAC
rnacentral:rRNA from 1 species